UCCUGCGGUUUGGUUGCCAGCAGUGUGGGAAGGACGGCUGGUGAGGGCGGUGGGUCCUAUGGAGUUCCCGCGGCACCUUUUGGAUCCCCGUGGUUGGCUUCUCAGCUUGUCUCACCGGCUCUCCAGAGAGGUGAUCCUGCUUUUUAGUCCUGCCAAGGUGACACAGGAACCUCCAGAAAUGAAGACCUAAAGAAACGAGGAAAUUGGUUAUAUGUUUAUGCUCAAGCUUGGUGAAGGCUGGACCACGAUGCAGAAGCAGGAUGGACGAAAGUGGGCUUGAUCUAUUGGCAGUAACUGGGGGUAGUAAAUACCCAAGAAAGUCUACCAUGGAGGAGGGCAGCCUUACCUUGGUUACAUUCCCUGGAAGGAGCGCCUACACAGCUGGGACCAGCCUUUAGGCAUGACUUAUCAUAGAGAUGGCAAAAGUCGAGGAAAAACCUGUCCAGGGGGGAAAGGGGGUGACAGAGCCUCCUCUGGGUGGUGUGGAGAAGGAAGAGGCUCAGCAGCUCCUCUUUGCUUUCUCUGUCUGACAAGUGGACCCCUACCCUCUUUUCCCUUGUGUUCCACCCUUCACUAAUUUCAGUUCCUCUUCCUUCCUCCAAGUACAGUCUUUAUUAAAAGUAGUUUUGCUCAUGA